AACUAGCAUAUCAAUAAGCGGAGGAAAAGAAACCAACAGGGAUUGCCUCAGUAACGGCGAGUGAAGCGGCAACAGCUCAAAUUUGAAAUCUGGCUCCCCUGGGGGCCCGAGUUGUAAUUUGUAGAGGAUGCUUCGGCGUGGGCCCCGGUCUAAGUUCCUUGGAACAGGACGUCACAGAGGGUGAGAAUCCCGUACGUGGCCGUGGGUGCUCGCCAUGUGAAGCUCCUUCGACGAGUCGAGUUGUUUGGGAAUGCAGCUCUAAAUGGGAGGUAAAUUUCUUCUAAAGCUAAAUACUGGCCAGAGACCGAUAGCGCACAAGUAGAGUGAUCGAAAGAUGAAAAGCACUUUGGAAAGAGAGUCAAAAAGUACGUGAAAUUGUUGAAAGGGAAGCGCUUGCAACCAGACCUGCCUGCGGUUGCUCAUCCGGGCUCCUGCCCGGUGCACUCUUCCGCAGUCAGGCCAGCAUCAGCUCUGGCGGUCGGAUAAAGGCGGCGGGAAUGUGGCUCCCCUCGGGGAGUGUUAUAGCCCGCCGUGCAAUGCGGCCAGCCGGGACUGAGGUCCGCGCUUCGGCUAGGAUGCUGGCGUAAUGGUUGUAAGCGGCCCGUCUUGAAACACGGACCAAGGAGUCUAACAUCUGUGCGAGUGUUUGGGUGUCAAGCCCAGGCGCGUAAUGAAAGUGAACGGAGGCGGGAACCUUCGGGUGCACCGUCGACCGAUCCUGAUGUCUUCGGAUGGAUUUGAGUAAGAGCAUAGCUGUUGGGACCCGAAAGAUGGUGAACUAUGCCUGAAUAGGGUGAAGCCAGAGGAAACUCUGGUGGAGGCUCGCAGCGGUUCUGACGUGCAAAUCGAUCGUCAAAUUUGGGCAUAGGGGCGAAAGACUAAUCGAACUAUCUAGUAGCUGGUUCCUGCGAGU
rnacentral:rRNA from 1 species